UCGAAUCGGUAGACGCUACGGACUUAAAUUAAUUGAGCCUUAGUUAAGAAAUUAGCUAAGUGAUUGUUUCCAUACUCGGGGAAACCUAGGUUGAGGAGAAUAAACAUAGUAGGUAAUCCUGAGCCAAAUUUUGUUUCCUUUACAAAAUAGGUGCAGAGACUCAAAGGGAACUAUCCAAACAAAAAUAAAUAAUUUAUUAAUUAUUAGUUCGUUUUACGAUGAAUUUUAAUAUAUUUAAAUAUAUAUAUUAUAUAAGGAUAAAGAUAGAGUCCAUUUUUACACGCUAUAUUUGGCAAGGAUGUAAGUCAUUGUAAAAAGAAAAUCCGUUGGCUUUUUAGACCGUGAGGGUUCAAGUCCC
rnacentral:tRNA from 1 species